UUUUGUUUUUGUUGUUUGAUGGAGGGUAAAUAAUUAUUAGUGAAAAUUGUGCAAAUACGGUUCACGGAUUUUCCGAAUAGUAUUUCAGCACCGAGCAGACUCCCGCCGCGGUUGCGUUCCUGUUUCAUGGGUUGCCAAAUGAUGGUUUCUACGUUAACGCUCCGAACCAACGCAAGCGGGCAUUCUUGCACUAGGACUUCUUAGUGCACGUGGAACGAACCAUACAGGACUUCAGUCGACCAAAGGCCAUGCUCGCUCGGGUCGUUGGCAAUCUUAACGGAAAAGAUUGCAGCUUCAUU